rnacentral:lncRNA from 1 species
AUAAAGAAAAUCAAGUAAAUUAGUAAUUAAGAAAUGGCUGUGUCUUCGCCAUGCAAGCGUUUCCUUCUAGUGGCUCUUUUCUUGGUUUGCUUCAUGAACACCGCCAACUCUGCUACCGGUAUAUACGUUUAAAUAUUUUCUAAAAUUAAUUUUUUAUUUCACGUUUUAAUUUUGAAUUUUGAUACAUAUAUAUAAUCUAAUCUAUUUUAUUUUAUGGUUUUUGCAGCACGGAGUUUGGUUAUGGAAAUGAAUCGCGCUGAAUCGCCUGACCAGAAAUAUACAGUUGCCAAAGAAGAUGGACCGGUGGAGGAUGAAGACUUUGUUAGUGACUAUACUCCGGCACGAAAGAAGAGUCCGAUUCAUAACUAAAAUUCAUGGGAGAAUAUAUAUAUAUAUAUAUAUAUAUAUUCCGAUUCGAACAAAUGAACAUAUAUGGGCUAUGACGACAGUUCGUACUAUCGACUAUCGUCACCGACAGAUUUUGGCUAUGGUAACGGUAUAGACCGUCGUCAUAUCUCAUGUUCGUUUGUUCGUGUUUUUUGAAAAACCGGAAUAUAUAUAUAUAUAUAUUGGUUCUCUCAAGUAAAUUGGAGGGAGCGAACCGGCUGUAACGACGAUUUUUUCUGACGCUAUAACAUAAAAAAUCGGCUUAAUUUCUAUGCUAUAGCAACAGAAAAAAUCGUCGUUAUAACCGGUUCGUUCUUAGUUUGCUCGUUCCAGUUCGCUGGAGAAGCGGACUAAUAUAUAUAUAUAUGUCAAUGAUCCAAGUGUUUUGUGUAAUUUAAUAUUUUUCAAAUAAAACUCAUGCAUGAUGGUAAAUUCCAUUGGCAUACAGAAUCCUUUAGUUUUUGAUAAUUAUAAUGAAAGAAUUCAGCAAGUAAUUAAAUAUGUCAGCGUACGGAUUUUUUUGCCAUUUAUUCUUUUGUUUUUCUGUUCUUAUG